GUCCUGCCAUAGCUCGGUUGGUAGAGCACGAGGCUCUUAAUCUUGGAGUCACGGGUUCAAGUCCUGCGUCGGGCA